GACGAACGCUGGCGGGCGUGCCUAACACAUGCAAGUCGAACGGAGCGAGGUUUGACAGAAACUCUUCGGAGGGAAGACAAGCAAGCUUAGUGGCGGACGGGUGAGUAACGCGUGAGUAACCUGCCUUUCAGAGGGGGACAGCAGUUGGAAACGACUGCUAAUACCGCAUAACAUCAUGAGUGGACAUCCACAUAUGAUCAAAGGAGCAAUCCGCUGAAAGAUGGGCUCGCGUCCGAUUAGAUAGUUGGUGGGGUAACGGCCCACCAAGUCGACGAUCGGUAGCCGGACUGAGAGGUUGAACGGCCACAUUGGGACUGAGACACGGCCCAG
rnacentral:rRNA from 1 species